AGGUAGCAUAAUCAUUAGUCUUUUAAUUGGAGACUGGAAUGAAGGGUUAAACGAGAAAUUAACUUUUUUUGAAGUAAAAAUCUAAAUUUUGGUUUAAGUGAAAACACUUAAAUAUAAUAAAAAGACGAGAAGACCCUAUAGAGUUUUAUAAUUUAAUAUAUUAAGAUUAAUUGAUUUUUAGAUCUAAAUUUAUGAUUUUAUUUUGUUGGGGCGACAUAAAGAUAUAAAAAACUCUUUUUUUAGAAAACUUUAAUUAAAGAAUAUUUUGAUCCUUAAAAAAGAUUAUAAGAGAAAGUUACCUUAGGGAUAACAGCGUAAUUUUUCCUGAGAGUUCUAAUCGACGGAAAGGUUUGCGACCUCGAUGUUGGACUAAAAUUAUAAUGAGGUGCAGAAGUUUCAUUUUUAGGUCUGUUCGACCUAUAAUUUUUUACACGAUUUGAGUUCCAGACCGG
rnacentral:rRNA from 1 species